GGGACGGGGCGGGGCAGGGAGGGAGGCCGCUGUCCAGCUCCGGCGCUCCUUCAUUACUUCUUGCGGCGGUAUUCUCUUGAGGCCGCGGGCUCGGCCUGAGGCGGGUGGGAAGGAGCGGCUGUGGGACAGGGAGCUAGCACCGGCUAACGAAGAUGUGUGGUAUGUCUUCCGACCGGAAUAAAGGAACGCUCAGGGUAGUGUGAGCUACAGUCAAGAAAAAUGUUGAAGGAAGUUAUAAAGUGAGCAUUACUACUUUAUUGAGGUAGAUUUCCUCUGGAAGUAAUCAAGAAGAUUCCUUUCCAAGGAACCCCUUUAGGACCAGCACCCCAUGGAAGAUCUGUCUGAAUUCUUCUCUGAAUAUAUAAGCUAAGGUUACCUAAGAAAGAAGGUUAAAAAAAAAGGAAAAUCACAUCCCAAAGGCCACAGUCUGACCUUUACUAAAUUGAGACUGGUUUUGAGAGAAAUGGAAGUUAAAUUCAUAU